GACGAACGCUGGCGGCGUGCUUAACACAUGCAAGUCGAACGGAAAGGCCCUGCUUGCAGGGUACUCGAGUGGCGAACGGGUGAGUAACACGUGGGUGAUCUGCCCUGCACUUCGGGAUAAGCCUGGGAAACUGGGUCUAAUACCGGAUAGGAGCCAUUUUUAGUGUGAUGGUUGGAAAGUUUUUUCGGUGUAGGAUGAGCUCGCGGCCUAUCAGCUUGUUGGUGGGGUAAUGGCCUACCAAGGCGGCGACGGGUAGCCGGCCUGAGAGGGUGGACGGCCACAUUGGGACUGAGAUACGGCCCAGACUCCUACGGGAGGCAGCAGUGGGGAAUAUUGCACAAUGGGCGCAAGCCUGGUGCAGCGACGCCGCGUGGGGGAUGACGGCCUUCGGGUUGUAAACUCCUUUCGCUAGGGACGAAGCUUUUUGUGACGGUACCUAGAUAAGAAGCACCGGCUAACUACGUG
rnacentral:rRNA from 1 species